CCUACGGGUGGCAGCAGUCGAGAAUCAUUCACAAUGGGGGAAACGCUGAUGGUGCGACGCCGCGUGGGGGAAUGAAGGUCUUCGGAUUGUAAACCCCUGUCAUGUGGGAGCAAAUUAAAAAGAUAGUACCACAAGAGGAAGAGACGGCUAACUCUGUCCCAGCAGCCGCGGUAAUACAGAGGUCUCAAGCGUUGUUCGGAAUCACUGGGCGGAAAGCGUGCGUAGGCUGUUUCGUAAGUCGUGUGUGAAAGGCGCGGGCUCAACCCGCGGACGGCACAUGAUACUGCGAGACUAGAGUAAUGGAGGGGGAACGGGAAUUCUCGGUGUAGCAGUGAAAUGCGUAGAUAUCGAGAGGAACACUCGUGGCGAAGGCGGGUUCCUGGACAUUAACUGACGCUGAGGCACGAAGGCCAGGGGAGCGAAAGGGAUUAGAUACCCGAGUAGUC
rnacentral:rRNA from 1 species